GUCAAACAGAUUGAUUACGUAGAAAUAGUAGGGUUAUAUUUAGUGGUAAUAAACAAAUAUCGCGAAAAAUGGGUCGUACUGAUUGGGAUCGUAUAUUAUCAGCAGAUCCAUCGUCAUUAACCGACGAUGACAUGGAGGAUCUUUAUCCUGCUGUGAUCAGUUGCGACGUUGAUGAGAUUAGUGAUAUACAUAACCUACGAACUUUGAUGAAACUAUCUCAAGAAAUACUGCAAUACAAAGACAAUCAAGUAGAGUCACUACUUUUAGAAUGUGGCGAAUUAAAACAAACCAUUUCUUCCUUAAAACCUGAACCUGCUAAGCGUAAAAAGAAAGAAUGGGGUACUUCCGAUUCAAAACAUGAAACCACCAAUGUAUCUAAACACGUAGAUAUAUCUGAAAGCACUGAUUAUGACGAUGCUUUGCAAGGCAAAAAUAAAAAGAUUAAAAUUCUUAUGACAGAAUUAGAGACUUUUGAAAGGGACAAUUUAGUUUUAAAAGAACGGUUAACCACUUUAACUCAAGAAAUGGAAGAUGCAACAUAUAAAAUGAAUGAAAUGACCGAAGAACUAAGUUCUGCACAAAUCAAAUCUAUAGAUUAUAAAGAAAAAAUAUUUGACUUAGAACGAGAAAACGCAGCAUUAGUGACACAGGUCGAGGAAGUAACAGCUCAACAGUUAGAUAGAGAUAAAGCAAUAGAUGAAUUUAGUACAGAAAUUGAUGCUAGAAUCAAUGAAUGGAAGACAAUAUUAGAUGAAAAAGACGAUGAAAUUCUGCGAUUAAGAGAACAUUUGUCUCAGUCUUUCAUGCAAUCCGUAGCCUCUGUCAAAGAGCAAAAUAAAUCCGAAAUCGUCCACUUGAACGAGCAGAUAGAUCACCGUGAUAAAAUUAUACUCGAGUUAAAAACAAAAUUAUCUGAAGCCACCGUUGAAAUCAACGAAAGUGCAACUUUCAUAGAAAAAUUAAAAACAGAUGCUCAAAAGAUAAAAAAGAUCGACAAAAAGAAGGAGCAGAGGGAUUUGUUAAAAAAAUUACAAGAUGCGAACGAACAGAUAUCUAAUUUGCAAAUUAAAUUAAACGAAGCGGAAGAAGAUGCGGAGUCAAAAAGUGGCAAAUUGUGCGAAGUAUUAGGAACGUUGAGGAAAUAUGAGGACGAGAAUCAAGCUUUAACAGACGCAUUGAACGAAAUAAAAAAUCUAAAAAGUGAACUGGAGAGCAAGAGGGGGCGUAUAACAGAUUUAAUUAAUGUGGUGAACAAAUUAGAGAUGUUAAACUCGUAUCAGGAAAUGGAAAUUAUAACCCUUAGAGAAAAAUUAGGUAUACCAGAAGACGAAUCGGUUUCCAUCGAACACGCUUUAGCGAAACGUAGAGAGCAAGAAAAGAAAUUGACGGAACUUCUGCAUCAAAAUAAAUUGCUCGUCGAGGAAAAUUUAGAAUUAAAUUCAGACAUAAGGGUAUUAAAAUAUAAAUUAUGUAAAAAGUCAUCGAAAGAAUUAGAUGUUUCGUGUGCUAUUGUAAAUGAUACUGGCGAAUUUUUCCAUUCGACCAAACUGGCGGAAUCUACACCUACGUGGCAUUCGAAAUUAAAUGUUUCUGAGCUACAAGAAAAUAUCCAGUUAGUUAUAGAGGAGAACGAAGCCCUUAGAACAGGAAUGCAUGAAAUUUUGGACAGUAUCCGAAACCAAGACGGAAAAAGUAGUGUGGAGAUACAGUCUAAUACUUUAGAAAGGUUGUUAGAGGCGUUAGAUGUGAGACAUUUAGCAGGCUGGUAUCAUCCUGCGAUGAGGUUGCAGGAGAAUUUGAAUGUUGUGCAGGGCAGCAAUGCUGAAUUGAGAGGCCAACUUAAACAAUUGAGAAAAGAACUGCAAAGAAAGGAUAACAUGCUGCGCAAGUUAGUUUUGAAUGUACAUGGCGAUAUCGAUAAAGUGUACACCGAAGACUCAGACAGUGAAAAAAUAACUACGUAUCUUACCGAAAUGAAGAAAUUACAAGAAGCCUAUAAAAACGAGACAGAAGAAUGGGAGAAACAAAAGACCUCUUUAACAGAACAAAACGAUGAGCUUAAAAACGAAAUUGAACAGUUGAAACAUAAGCUCGAUGUUUACGAGCAGAGUGCAAAAAUAUUGGAAGAUGGCGAAGAUGAGAUUCGAAAAGCUUUCGUGAUUAAGACCAAAGAGUAUGCAGAAGUUUCCAGUGAAGUUUUAAUUGCAAACAGAAAGAACUUCGCUCUUCAAAAAUUGUUGAAUAAGGAAACAACGAAAGCUUACCAGGCCCAAAAAGAAGCAAUUAGAAAUGAAAGUUAUUUAAACAAAGCAUUGGCUGACUCUACCAAACACAACAAAAUCCUCGAACGCGAGUUAUCGAUAUUGCAGAGCAACUUAUUCAACUCUGUUAGUUCAGCCAUUUACAAUGAAUUAAGAGAGAAACACGAAGAAUUAAGCAUACGUUUUCGUAAUGUGAUGGAAAAUAAUUUAGUACUAGGAAAUGACAAUGAGAUAGAGAUAUUAAAGAAAGAAUUGGAAUUGAUAACUCAAGAAAAAGAUCAAGUUGUAGAGUAUUUGCAAAAAGAAAUUCAUAGCAAAAGCGAUCAGGAUUUAAAUUUGACGGAAAAAUUGAGAGAAGCUGAGGCUGGAGAACUUUUAGAAAAGCAACGAGCUGAUCACGUGGCUAGUCUGCAUGAAAUUUUACAGACUCAAUUGUCAAAAUGCGAGGGAAAUCUUAAAGAAGUGGCCGCUGCUAAGUCUGAAUUGCAAGAAGAAUUAAUUAUUCUGCAUAAAAGAUUAUCCAAAGAUUUGCACUUUGAGAGGACUCAACAAGUAGAUGAUAAUAAAGUGCAAGAAUUAAAAGACAACAAUGCAAUUCUUCAGAUAGAAAUUGAAAAUUUGAAGAAACAACUGCAGAUUGCUCAAGAGGAAGCUAAGCAGCAAUAUUCAUUGAAUUCGUUAAAAACGAUGGAAUUGGAUAAUCUCAGGCAUCACAUAUUAAAUUUGCAAGCUGUUAGUGAGGACAAAGCGACAAUUUCGAGACUGGACUUUGAGUUGACGAAUAAAAAUUUGUUAGAGAUGGAGUUGAAUACGCGGAAAGUUAGAUUGGAGAAUGAGGUGUCGUAUUUGCAGGAAGAACUUGAUAAAUCAAGGACAACUUGCGAAGGAUUGCGCACUUAUGUGCAGGAUUGUCGAAAACAAUGCGAUAAUCGUUGCAGAAUGUAUAUAGAAGUGAUAGGGUUUCUGCAAAAUCAGUACGCAGGCUCUACUUCGAUUAGCGCUUUAGAUAGAGUAAUUUCGUUAUCGAUGAAACUCAAAGACGAACGCCAGAAUAUCGAUUCGGAUAUGAAAAAAGCGAAAGAGUGCCAUGAGAAUGCUAAGCAGCAACAGGAAACAUUAACUAAUCGCUUACAAAUCGUUGAAAGUUUGAAAGAUAUACUAGAACAGCAGAUUGGAAGCAACAGUGUCCAAGAUAUUAUGCAGCGAUUUUCAGAAUAUUCGCAAUAUACUCUGAACGACUUUAAGUGCAAACGAAAGAUAACACAACUAGAAUACGAGAUCCAAAUGGCCAACAACAAAUUCAUGGAAUACGAAUCGGUCAUAACCGAAAUGGAGCAUGAGAUGAUACAGAUCCAGAGAGUAUGGAGCAAAGGCCAAGAUCAGCGAUUCAAAACCAAUACGAAUGACACAACGAGCCCAAUGUUAUCAGAAAACAAGCAUGCGUCGAUUCAAGCAAUCGUAGAGACAAAACCAAGAGAAAUGCAAACAGAUCCCUACACUUGUUGCUUGGACAAGAAACAAACGAGCGAUAUUGAAGUUCAGACCACUUUUUCCAAAGAAAGUGAUCCAGAAGAUGAAAAGUUUAAGGAGAAAGUAAAAGAAACGGCGAAAGAGCCAACGAAAGAAACGUCGAAAGAAAUAGAAGUCAAAGAAAAAAAAGAAGAAGCGAUUCAUUCUAAAGAAGAUACACGAUAUAAAGAAACGAUAAAAACGACGAAGGAAAUGAUAGGAGAGAAAGUAAACGUAGAACACGGAGAAAAAGCAGAGAAAGAUGCGAUAGAAAGAAAAGGAAGUGAUCAGGAAAUGUCGUUACUUCGAGAACAAUUGGAUCAAGCUCUGAAGCUCAGCUCCGAACGUUCCUCCGCUUUAAUCAAGUACGAAUUACAGAUAGCAGAGUGUCAGGCGAAGGUGGACUCGUUGAACGAGAUAAUAAAAAGCAAAGACCUGGCACUGGCGCAAAAAGAGAAAAUAAUUGAAGAAUACAAGCUUUCGCCUCGUGUACAACACCCUACCACUGACUGUAGUGAGAAGCUUGCUUUGAAGUCGACGAUAAACAGCUUGCAGAAGCUUGUCAGUCAAAAGGAGGAGACCAUAGGCAGAUAUCAAAACCUGUUGAAAGAAGAUAGAGACGAGCACAGUAAGGCUGCAGCUCGUCUACAAGAAGAAAUCAGAAGUUUGCAGAGUCGUAUUCUAUCUAUGCAAAGCGAUACUCAAAGAGUUCAACAGAGGCAAGAUGAUAGGAGAGACGAGCCAGAGAAAUUGAUUGAAAAAGUACAAGAAGCUGAGUCGAAAAUUGAUGAUAUAAGAAAUAUCGUUAUGCAGACGGAAGAGGUUGCUAGGUUGAAAGAAAAGGUUUCUACUUUGGAGGCAGAUUUGAGUAUAACUAAGGAACUGAGCGAUCGUUGGCAUCGGUUGGCCGAGGAAAGGCUGAAUCAUGUGGAUCGUACGAGGGAAAGACUAGAAGAACAGCAUAAAAGCGAGUUAGAGAGCUACCUCGGAGAAUUGGCAAAAUGGCAAUCAGAAGCAGACACGUUACGAAAACAAUUAUGUGAAAAUCGUAUGAUGGUCACGAAAGGAAAUAUGUCUUUGAUGAAAGAGAUGCAAGAGAAAGAUGAUAAGAUAAAUCAGCUUAGUUUCGCGUGUCAGGAGCUGCAGAACGAAGUUGAAUUAAUGGGAUCUGCUACUCGAUCACGGCAAGCGAUAACUCAUGGCGAGUCAGAGUUGAAGAUACACGAAAUUACACAGAGUCACGAUAAUUUACAGCAACAGGAUCAUACGGAUACAGUGAGGAAACAGUUGCAGUCGUUGUUGGAAAAGGAGAAAAUGUAUAAGAACGAAAUUUCUGAUUUGAAGCAACAACUUAGUCGCAGAUAUAUGGCCGUAAAGGCACAAGAAAAGAAAACGUCGCAGCGCGAAAUUCUGCUUGAACGUAAAGUAAAGUCCUUAGAAGAAGAACUCGAGAAAACUCGAGUGCAACUAGACAGAGAAUAUUUAGCUCAGGAAGCGAAGAAAGCCAAGACAGCGGAAGAGCUAUCGUUGUGGGAAAAGCAGAAGAAGUGGCAACAAACUGCCGAAAAGUUGAAAGAGAAGCUCAAAGAAAAGACGGAGGAACACUCAAAAUUACUCACGAAUUACGAGAAACUUCGAUCGGUGGUUUCGUGUAUGGAAAGGGAAAAAUGGUAUUUAAAAAACAAAUUGAAAUCAGAAGGUCAUACAGCAGCUGGAAAUCUAUCAGCUCGACCAAUAACUGUUCGACAAAAUAUAAUGGGAGAUCUUCAGAAAGAGUGCGAAACUUUACGCGAACGUGUCAAAGAAUUGUCCGACAGGUUGGAGAACGAAAAUAACGAGAAGCUUUUGCACAAAAUCGAAGAGCAAAAGGCACGUAUCGCUGCUUUAGAGACAAUUUCUCAGGGUAACAGCUAUGUUGUUAGUCAGUUAGAGAAAUUGGAAAUGACUAAAGAUAUUUUGGAGAAAAUGAACUUAGCGUUGGAAGCCGAGAACUUCGAGCUUCGACUCGAAUUGGAAAAGGCAAACGCGGACACGCCUAGGUUGAGGGAGAAGGUUGAACACUUAGAAAAAUACAUAGAGCUACUGAAAGUAGAAAAAUCGUCAGAUUCGACUCCAAGAUCGUCGGAAAAAGAUUUACAAGACCACGGUACUAAACAAUCCAUCUUGAAGAUGGAAAAAACGAUCUUUACGUUGAAAAGAAUCAUCGAGAAGCUUCAAGUAGAAAACAGACGUCUCAGGCUUGGCUCAAAAACGAAUCAUAUUCAUCAGGGCAAAUUGUUAAAUAGCAAAAGCGAAACUGCGUUGAAAAAUAAUUACGAGGAAGCGCAGAAGCGAAUCGUGGCGUUAGAAACGGAUUUACAAUUGGCCGAGCGAAGGGUAGCUGCGUUCGAAAAAGUGCAAAAGGAGGAGGAUAACGGGGAGAUAAAGACAUUGAGGGAGCAAUUGUACCACAAGUCUGAACUCCUAGACAAAGUGAAACAUUUAUUAUCGAGAGCAGCCAUGAACGAGAAAUCUCUUCGACAACGUGUACAACAACUAGAAUCAAAACAGACAUUGUCUACGAUACCAGAGUGCCAUGUAAUUCCUCCUAUUCCGGAGUAAGCAACGUCUGAAUUGUUCGGGGCGUUCUGAUCGAGCUGCAGGACUCUCACCGCGCCCAGUACAUAUGUCGUCCCGCCGUCAGCUUGGCACGUCACCCAUUCGACGCCGGUAAUAUACGCUCGCCGUUCGCGGCGAUAAAUAUUACAAUAUAAUAUUCCUCGGCGUGAGACGAAGGAUUCCUGACAAGCCUUACAGGACGAAACGGAAAGCCAAGCGGCGAAGAGGUCACCGACGGAAGGGGUAUCGCGUUACUGGAGACAACGAACAACUUUGCUCGAAGGAGGCAUCCUUUUACGAUUCACCGAAUAGCUCGUGGAGCGAUUUUUUCAUUCAAAGGCGAGGAAUUAUUAAAACGCGUUUUCCCUUCGGUCACACCGAGGUAAGUCUGUAAAAUACUCGUGGAACAUGUUGGUUCGUGCGUUGAGGGAAAUAGCAAAGGGCGAUGAGUUGCUUAACCCCUUCGCGCGAAACAUGAUGCAACGAGAAAGACUGGAAAUAUAGAACGAUAUCUCCUUCGUUCUUUUUUCGUCUGUGUUUUUCUUUAGGGAUAAGUUCUUUUCUUUUUAAUGUAAUCCGUGAGCGUAUUUUUAAAUAUUGGAGAUAUCUUGAGUUUUGGAAAUCAUAUAUAAAUUGCAUCCGUUUAGAUAUUCGAUCAGAUAAACAUGUAAGGACAUUUCCUUCUUUGUUAGUUUUUGUUUUUAAUAAAAUUGAGCAACGAAUGUGUUAAGAAAUAUGAAUAUUAUAUUUUUCCUAAUUUUUUUUUUUUUUUUUUUUUUUUUUAAUGUAACGUUUGUAUCUUUUUGUGAUUUGCGGCUUUUGGAAAGUACGAAUGAUACUUAUCUGAAUAUUCUAUUCUUCGAGAUACUCUUCAAAAUAUUAUAGGGUAGCGCGUAAUAUAUUUUUUUACGUAAUAACUUUCUUUUAUUGUCCGUUUAUCGACACGUUGGAUCGGCGAACAAUGAAGCAGUUAGGGCUUUCACUAUCAUUUUACUCACACGGUUUUAUAUAAUAAUAGUAUAUAAUUAUGGCGGAAGCAUUCCUUAUUCGUUCAAUAUGUCUUAAAACAUAAUCUGAGUGCAAGUAUGCAAGUUUUAUGAGUACCAGUUUUAACUUGUAGUAGAAUAUAUUUUGUUCGAUAAGUAUGUUCACGUAUGUGGGAGAAUAAAUUUACUACCUAGUUUUUAUACAUGUACAUAUCUGAUUGAAGUUUCUUUAGAAAAAUUUAGAAAUACCAUGUCUUGCGUUUGAAUAAAGAAUUUGUGAAAUGGAAAGUACGCUGUAGCCUAAGAAUUGUUUUAAAAACUUUGUGAAUAAAACCCCAUGAAAAUCA